GUUUGCUUGGAAGCAGCAAUUCAUUUAAAGAGUGCGUAACAGCUCACUGGUCGAGCGACAGAGCAUCGAUAAUAAACGGGCAUCAAGAAUAGUACCGAAGCUUUAGAUUUAUACUUUAGAAGUAUAAGUGGUAGGGGAGCAUUCUAAGGUCGGUGAAGGCGGGACGCGAGUCCUGCUGGAGAGCUUAGAAAAGCAAAUGUAGGAAUAAGUAACGAUAAAGCAGGUGAGAAUCCUGCUCACCGAUAGACUAAGGUUUCCUGAUCAACGUUCGUCGGAUCAGGGUUAGUCGGGACCUAAGGCGAACCCAUCGUAGUGGUGGGGCAGUCGAUGGACAACUGGUUAAUAUUCCAGUACUAAUGUAUACUGCUAUGGAGAGACGGAGUAGUGACAAGUUCGCGUGGUGACGGAAUACCACGUUAAAGCCAGUAGAUAUAUUUUGAGUAGGCAAAUCCGCUCGAAAUGUCGAAGGUGAUAGUACAACAAAGCUUCGGCCGCGUUGAUAGUAACUGUAAUCAGACUUCCAAGAAAAUCUUCUAUGCUUCAGGUAUACAUGACCCGUACCGCAAACCGACACAGGUAGUCAAGGAGAGAAUCCUGAGGUGCGCGAGUGAUUCACGGCUAAGGAACUCGGCAAAUUAACCCUGUAACUUCGGGAGAAGGGGUGCUUCCUCUAGCGAUAGAGAAGCCGCAGUGAAAAGUCUCAGGCGACUGUUUAACAAAAACACAUGGCUCUGCGAAAUCGAAAGAUAAAGUAUAGGGCCUGACACCUGCCCGGUGCCGGAAGGUUAAGAGGGGGGCUUAGCAGCAAUGCGACGGUCUGAAUCGAAGCCCCGGUAAACGGCGGCCGUAACUAUAACGGUCCUAAGGUAGCGAAAUUCCUUGUCGGGUAAGUUCCGACCUGCACGAAUGGUGUAACGAUCUGAGAACUGUCUCAGCCGUGAGCUCGGUGAAAUUGUAGUAGCGGUGAAGAUGCCGCUUACCCGUCACGGGACGGAAAGACCCCGUGCACCUUUACUAUAGCUUUGCAUUGAUUUUGGGUAAAUGAUGUGUAGGAUAGGUGGGAGGCUUUGAAGCGGGUACGCUAGUAUUCGUGGAGCCAACGUUGAAAUACCACCCUUUAUUUACUUGGAGUCUAACCCCCGAAUGGGGAAACAGUGCAUGGUGGGUAGUUUGACUGGGGUGGUCGCCUCCAAAAAAGUAUCGGAGGCUUCUAAAGGUUCCCUCAGUACGCUUGGUAACCGUACGUAGAGUGCAAUGGCAUAAGGGAGCUUGACUGAGAGACAUACAGGUCGAUCAGG
rnacentral:rRNA from 1 species